GACGAACGCUGGCGGCGUGCCUAAUACAUGCAAGUUGAGCGAUGAAGAUUGGUGCUUGCACCAAUUUGAAGAGCAGCGAACGGGUGAGUAACGCGUGGGGAAUCUGCCUUUGAGCGGGGGACAACAUUUGGAAACGAAUGCUAAUACCGCAUAAUAACUUUAAACAUAAGUUUUAAGUUUGAAAGAUGCAAUUGCAUCACUCAAAGAUGAUCCCGCGUUGUAUUAGCUAGUUGGUGAGGUAAAGGCUCACCAAGGCGAUGAUACAUAGCCGACCUGAGAGGGUGAUAGGCCACAUGGGGACUGAGACACGGCCCAAACUCCUACGGGAGGCAGCAGUAGGGAAUCUUCGGCAAUGGACGAAAGUCUGACCGAGCAACGCCGCGUGAGUGAAGAAGGUUUUCGGAUCGUAAAACUCUGUUGGUAGAGAAGAACGUUGGUGAGAGUGGAAAGCUCAUCAAGUGACGGUAACUACCCAGAAAGGGACGGCUAACUACGUG
rnacentral:rRNA from 1 species